GAAGUUUCCUGGUAGGGCAGAUACCAUCAUCAUGAAAAACAGUAUUCCCAGGGUGACGUUUGCACUCAGGAUAUGCUGAUCCCUGUAGUUGCUCUGAAUACAGGAAAUUUAACAGCAUACUUUGACUGCAUAAUUUCUGGUUGUGAGAGGACUGUAUUUGAGCAUCCCCCUG